AACGAACGCUGGCGGCAGGCUUAACACAUGCAAGUCGAACGGGUGCAGCGAUGCAUCAGUGGCAGACGGGUGAGUAACACGUGGGAACCUUCCUUGGGGUACGGAACAACUUGGGGAAACUCGAGCUAAUACCGUAUACGUCCGUGAGGAGAAAGAUUUAUCGCCCUGAGACGGGCCCGCGUCGGAUUAGCUAGUUGGUGGGGUAACGGCCUACCAAGGCGACGAUCCGUAGCUGAUCUUAGAGGAUGAUCAGCCACACUGGGACUGAGACACGGCCCAGACUCCUACGGGUGGCAG
rnacentral:rRNA from 1 species